rnacentral:lncRNA from 1 species
UUACUUAAUUUAUUAUAAUUAAAUAUUUAAUUAAUGAAGGAACAUUUACAACCAAAACUCUUCACAUUUCAAUUGAAAUGAGUAAUUAUUCAUAACUCACAUCUCUUUAAUAUAAACUCUUAAUAAAUUUAUUUAUUUAUUUAUUUUUAUCUUCUUCUAAUUACAAAUUGACAAUAUCUUUUAAUAUUUUAAGUAUUUAUUUUUUAUUAUUUAAAUAUAUUUAUAAUGAGUAAUUACACAUGAUUCACACCUUUAAUUUUUAUUUUUAAUAAUAUUCAUAACCCCUAUUAUGUUCAUAUCCGUAACCUCCAAGCUUUAAUUUGUAAGUUUAUCAUGUCUUAUGGUAUUCUAUUACUUUGCUUAUAUAAAUUUAUAUUUAGUUUCAUGAAGACUCCCAUUCAUCUUAAGUUCUCUUUCAUGUUUUAUUCUUUCUUUUUCUUUUCUUCUUUCAUCAUUUAGGUAAAUUGUAUGUUUUAGAUAUGUAUCUCAAAUCUUUUUCAUUGUUACUAUAAGAUUUCUUUUUUCAUUCUUGCUUUACUGUAUCAAUUGUUCCAGUUCUUUUUUGUUUUUAUUUCCUAUUUCAUUAAUUUUAGUUAGAUAUGUUAUGCUAUUCAUCUUUGUGUUUUGGAUACGUAUCUAAAACUUUAUUUUUAAUUAGAAAUGCUUAAAAUUACAAUAUUAAUUAUUACUACUUUCUUUUGUCUUUAUUUUCUAUUUCAUUAAUUUUAAUUGAAUAUGUUAUGUUAUUGAUUUUCGUUUAAGGCUUCUCCUAAUUAAAUGAUUUAAAACUGAAAUAGUAAAGUACUUGGAUUGUCAUUUAUGGAGGGAGUUUUUGUGACAAUUACAGUGUUCGGAUUAACUUUCACUUAAUUGAUAUGUGGUUGAAUUUGAGUUAUUUUAUUUUUGAAGAUAUGACAAGUGUUUAUAACGAUCUAUAAAUAUAAUAAAACGAGACGUAUAAGUGAUGAGGUAACACAUUUCUUAGGGUAUGACCAUGACUCGUAAUUAUCUUUUUUUAAUUUUUUCUUCUUUAUUUCUCUAUAGAAUUAUUUAAUCACUUUUUUCGUUACGGAAAUUAAUUGUUGUUCACGAGUCAAGGAGAUUCAAUUUGCGUUAUUAGCUUUUUGCUUUCUUGAUAAACAAUAAGUUACAGUUCCUCCAUUAUAAGUUUUAAUUUUUAAAUAACAUUAAAGUCUAUUCAAAUAAUUGCUUA